rnacentral:rRNA from 1 species
AGUCGAGCGAACGGAUGAGAAGCUUGCUUCUCUGAUGUUAGCGGCGGACGGGUGAGUAACACGUGGAUAACCUACCUAUAAGACUGGGAUAACUUCGGGAAACCGGAGCUAAUACCGGAUAAUAUUUUGAACCGCAUGGUUCAAAAGUGAAAGACGGUCCUGCUGUCACUUAUAGAUGGAUCCGCGCUGCAUUAGCUGGUUGGUAAGGUAACGGCUUACCAAGGCAACGAUGCAUAGCCGACCUGAGAGGGUGAUCGGCCACACUGGAACUGAAACACGGUCCAGACUCCUACGGGAGGCAGCAGUAGGGAAUCUUCCGCAAUGGGCGAAAGCCUGACGGAGCAACGCCGCGUGAGUGAUGAAGGUCUUCGGAUCGUAAAACUCUGUUAUUAGGGAAGAACAUAUGUGUAAGUAACUGUGCACAUCUUGACGGUACCUAAUCAGAAAGCCACGGCUAACUACGUGCCAGCAGCCGCGGUAAUACGUAGGUGGCAAGCGUUAUCCGGAAUUAUUGGGCGUAAAGCGCGCGUAGGCGGUUUUUUAAGUCUGAUGUGAAAGCCCACGGCUCAACCGUGGAGGGUCAUUGGAAACUGGAAAACUUGAGUGCAGAAGAGGAAAGUGGAAUUCCAUGUGUAGCGGUGAAAUGCGCAGAGAUAUGGAGGAACACCAGUGGCGAAGGCGACUUUCUGGUCUGUAACUGACGCUGAUGUGCGAAAG